AUACACCAGUUGAAAAUCUUUAUAAUCUAAGAAAUUAGGAAUAUGACACCAUAUGUUACAAUGACUAAUAAAGUGCCAGCAGUCGCGGUCAUACUUUAGUUGAAAGUAAAAAAAAUUAGGGGUGCACAUAAUGCAAUAUGGUGACUCUGUGGUAAAAUAUACUGCGCCAUUUUUUUUCUGCACUUACGUACACGUAACUACUGACCACAAACAGGGAUUAGAUACCCCUUUAUGCAGUAAGCAAACCACUCCUCUGGGCACUACAAUUAUCAGAUUCAAACCCAAAUAACAUGGCGGCCGUUUGAACAUUUAGGGGAACUUACUAAGUAAAUGAUAACCACCAAGAACAUGUACGACAAAUUAUAUUUUACAUACCGUCGUCGUCAGAUAUACUGUGACAGAAUAUCAUAAUAUCAUAAUAAUAAAAAGACAGAUCAAGGUGUAGACAAUAUUGUCGUUUAAGCGAGUUACAAUAUUAUUUUAUUUCAUACGAUAACCUUAGUGUUGUUCAUAUGACGGACUUAAAAGUAAUAAGUAUUAUGUAUAUCUUAUGAAUACUUCUCACACUG
rnacentral:rRNA from 1 species